ensembl:lncRNA
GCUCUCAGCCUUGGUCAUUGUACUUGGCAGAUGGGCAAUUAACUCUAUAGAUAGCAUUCUGACCUCUUCAAGGCUAGAUUGUAUACAAUCUCCUUUUACUUAACCCUGUCAAUUCAGGACAAUCAGUGGCCAUGUUGACUGGGGGUGGUGGGAUUUCUAGACCAGUACCUUUGGAGGGAACUAGUAUGGGGAAGGCUGAGCCAGGAUAGCUGGCCUAGGCUAAAUGUGAACAGGUAAUGUAAACCUUGCUUCAGCUGCUGAGGAGAAGCAUAAAGAAUCAGCACAGCUGACUUGGUAUAGGCUGACAGCUUCUGCUUAAAGCUUGAGGGGAGAGUCAUACAACCUUCUUAGCCAGCUAUUUCCUCCAAGCAGGAAAAGAUCCAAAAUCUGCCUGAAAUGAAAACCAAGCCCAAAAUAUGAUUGCUUAAAUUGUUUCCUUCUUAUGGGAUGCUGAGAAGCUGCAUUGGGAAAUACUCUAAUUUAAGGAGGAGUUUAUUAAAACUUGGCUAAAUUCAGUGUGAGAUGGAAAUCUGAUUAGCCAACUUUAGCUGGAAGACUGUAAGUCAUGUUGUGGUCGGCUGCAAACAGUGGCCAUGCUGGCUGAAGGAUCCUGGGAGAAAUAGCAUGAAGAAAAGUAACUACUCCACGCUCUAAGUUUGCAAAUCAGUCACAAAAGUUCUCUGCCUCAUUAAGUUGCAUCCCUCUCACCUUACAACCAGAGCAAAGUUCAUGGGCCAGCAAGGUGCAAGUCAAAGUAGCCGCCUCCUCUUCAUUCCCCUUUUCCAGCAUUCUUGCAGAAGGGCCAUUGACUUGGCCACAUGCAAUGAUCCAAGUACAGCACCUGACGCGGGAGUGAAGAACAUUGAAGCCAAAAGUGAAGAAUUGUAGCUGUCCAGACAAUUCAUGGACUUCAGCUCCCAUCUGCAGGAGCAGGCAUGGAAAGUGUUCCAGGUGACAGGAGUUGUAGAUUAGCAACAACUGCAGAAACACAGAUAUCCUAUCCCUCCUUUAUAAACAGUGAAGCUGUAUGGCAAGCAUGUAAAGAGGCAGUAAAACUAUGUCAACUAUCUGCCUCCUCAUUUUAACAAACUUGCUUAAUAAUGACAUCAAGGAACAGCAAUCAUUAUGGAUGAAUCUCCUCCAUAGAUGUAAACUAGCACAGGGCUGAUUUGACUGGAUUAACUCCUUUCCUUUUAGAAAUAUUUUUCUGUGUGUCGUAACAUGCAUAGAGCCAAAUACUUUUUUUAACCUUAUAUAUUUUUACUUUUAAAAGUUUGGAAAUGCUUACAAAUUGAUUGUUUGGUUUCAUUCUGGGAUUAGCCUUUUACUGGGGUAAUGUCAGCUAUGAUGAACCAUAGGUUUCUGUUCUUUGCCUGUAGGACUAAUAGAGAAAUCAGACAUCCUAACCAGGAUCUGACAGUUGAGUAAAAGAUCAAUGGCUUGCUAACUACCCUGUUUUCCCCAAAAUAAGACCUAACCUGAAAAUAAGCCCUAGUAUGAUUUUUCAGGAUGCUCGUAAUAUAAGCCCUACUCCCAAAAUAAGCACCAGUUAAGUGAAACCCUGCCCUCCACCAUUGUGCAGCAACCAGAAGAUGACAGGACUGUAUUUGAAUAAGUGUAGAUUGUUGUACAUGAAAAAAAAAAUCCCCCGAAAAUAAGCCCUAAUGCAAAAAUAUAUAAAAGACCCUGUCUUAUCUUCAGGGAAACAGGGUAUUAUAAUUCUUCAUUCUGGGUUAACAGUGCAAAGAUCAUUUUUAAAAAUGUUUGAUAAUAAUCUGUUUAUCUACACACAUUUAAGCCUUAUCAGAUAGUUCUUAUAGAACAACCUAGACCCAUUUCCCCCCAUAAUUAUUAAUAAUGAGUGUGACGUUUUCCAUGUAACCCCUGC